rnacentral:misc_RNA from 1 species
AUUGCACUGAGUUCCUGCAGGGCAAGUCCCCAGUUGUUCAAUGCCUGUGGACUGUUCCAAUUGAGCUGGACAGCCUUUUCAUAAUUCUUUGUUGCCUGCUUCCAAAGUUCUUCAGCUUCUUUUGUACGACCCCGGAUUUUGGCUCGAUCAGAUAUUGCAAUGGCCCAAUUGUAGUAAGCAUCAUUCAGCGUAGGACAAAGGCGGGUUGCCUCCUCAUACUUUUUGCAUGCCUGUUCGAGCAAAGAAUCUUUUGAAGGUGAAGUGGAAUCUGGGCUUACAUUAUCUGCACUUUCCUGAAGA